UACGUAGGGGGCAAGCGUUGUCCGGAAUUAUUGGGCGUAAAGCGCGCGCAGGCGGUUUUUUAAGUCUGGUGUCUAAGGCCGAGGCUCAACCUCGGUUCGCACCGGAAACUGGGAGACUGGAGUGCAGGAGAGGGAAGCGGAAUUCCACGUGUAGCGGUGAAAUGCGUAGAGAUGUGGAGGAACACCGGUGGCGAAGGCGGCUUCCUGGCCUGUAACUGACGCUGAGGCGCGAAAGCGUGGGGAGCAAACAGGAUUAGAAACCCCAGUAGU
rnacentral:rRNA from 1 species